ensembl:lncRNA
CAAAGAUACCACAGAAAUAUCUUAGUGUCAUUUUUCCUGGAUGUAGUCAUCUGGGAGAACAAAUUUAUUUAAAAAAACCAACAAACCUGUGAAACUUGAAAAAUACAGAACAAGCAACGGAACAAUGAGACCUCAUACAAGCGUAAGGAUAACCUCAUUGCACAGCUUUUAGCUCCAGGAACUAAUGAUUUUGUGUAUAUUGUGUUGUCAUAAUGCAGCUAUCGAGGUGAUGAAUUGCAAGCAUACUGGAAACGUAGUGAAAUAACUUUAAUCCAGGGAUUUAUUUGAAUAGAUUAGAGGCCAAAAUGUGAUCGAACCAAAGAGAGAUAUCACUUCAUUGGCAGUUUUGGGGAUUUUACCGUUUACUUACGGUACAAAUGGUAACACACUUUCACCAAACUGCCUAAAACGAGGUUUCUAUCAGUAUCUGGAAGCACUUGAAGGAAGUGAACAGUUAAUUGUAAUAUCAGAUAUUGCUGUGCAGUAUUGGGAUUUAAACAGAGACUAGAGUAGCUAUUUUAUUGUUAUUAGCGACUGUUUGAAAUGUGACGGUAGAAAUAAUUCUUCCAAAAGGAGUCAAAGUUCAAAAUUCUGAUGGCUGAUGUUCAAGACUGCUGAAAUACAUUUUCUAACGAACACAAACUUCUCAUUAUGUUCCUGCUGGACAGUAUCAUAGUACUAAACAAAGUGCAGUACCUGCUAGAUCGCAGUUAUCUAUUUUAACAAAACCAUAUUUGUGUUUUUGUGGUCUCUCUGUGAUCGCACACCGACAAUAACGAGGAACGAAGUGGUUCUGUUUUGUGAGUUAGUGCACUUUAAAAACUGCUUUUAUGGUGCAUUAAUGUAAAGAUGCAGUAAAAACUCAGCAUGUUAUUUAUUGAAUGUUUUUUUGUAAUUAUUUCAUAUUUUCCAAACAGGAGGAUGAGUUCUGCUCUCAGUGGCAGGAGAUUUGGUCAAAUUGGAGACCUCUUGUGGUAAUUGAAAGGUACUACAACGUGACUUUGAGGCUUUCCUGCAGUCCUACCUCAGUGCAAUAAGAAAUGCGCUGCUGGUCAGUGAGUCUCCACAAAAACUGUUUUGUUUUUAAUCUUAGUGCAGCUAAAACUGUUUUAUUGCACAUUUUGUUUCGCAUUGGGCAAGAAUUUAGUUUCUGAAAAGUGAUUUUUUUUUUUUCUCGAUGCUGUUUGCUGCAGCUUUAGCAAAUCAUGGGCACUUCCUUCAUCUUUAUUGUGCUUUACAUAAUGCCUGAUAAAAGCAUAUUUAUAAUGAAUAGUAUUAUUAUUUCCACAGUUCCCCUCAUUCAAACAGAAACCAUCAGCGUGUCCUGUGAUGGUAAUAAAAUCACUGAUGUAUGGACCUAUAAAUAAAACCAGUAACCGUCUGGGUGCUGACAGGCCCCAUCCUUUGAGACGAAGGCAUUAUGUAAAUGUGUCGAAUCACUCUGAACAUUUCGCUCCAGCACAUUCAUCAUUAUUAUUAUUAUUAUUAUUGCAUAUCGCUUUGUUUGAUUGAGCUGAACUUACUUGUAAGGGAAUCGUUCUGUGUCGAGCCUGCGUUUAGCUGUGUAGCAUCUUUAUUCAUGCUUUUACUUCGUUUUUCUUAUUUCCUCUUUUUUUCUUUCGUUCUGAACCCACGAGGAAAUGUGCAAUAGAUUAAAAAAAAGAAGAAGAAAAAAGACAAAAACGCUUCAGCGAAAGGAGGAAGGUCAUAGUGGGCCGGGAGUAGAUGUUCCCGGUCAGGCUGCCGGUCACGAGGCUUUUGCCGUCUUUUCCAGUGUGUCAUGUUUAAGUCUGUUUUCAGAGAGCAGGUGUGCGAGGUCCUGACGUCAGAGCACUCGUCGGACCAAAGCAGCGACGUGAUGAACUAACACGAGGAUGUCUGCUCCCGCGACCUCCGUCAGCUGACCCAUUCUGUAGUGACAUUACAGCCAUCUGGGAUCUUCGUCACAGACGUAGAGUCACUGGCCCACCAUCAUCAUCGUCAUCGUCGGGGGCCCUCAGCCGUUUCAGUUCAAUCCAUCAACUUCCAGGAUAAACACCAAAAAGAGAAAAUCCUGUUUUUCCCCCCACGCUGUCUUUGCAGAGAGAUCGUGCUGUUCGCAGAGGCCGACGCGCAGAGCCCGGUCCUUUUUGGGGGUCGGCUGACUUUGUGUUUAACUCCACGUUUAAAUCAUCGUGGGAAAUUCCCUCAUUUGCUUUGUUGCUGAGAGAUUCGCAGAUUUCUGAAACUCGUUUUCAGUCAAAGCUGGAAGCCAGUUCUGAAACCUUCUUACUGUCACUGCUGACCGCCGAACAGACACGCCCGUCUGUGAGCCGUCUGUGAGCCGUCUGUUUUCAGCCCGUUGCCUACAUAAACUUGUCACAGUGCAAACUCCUUGCUGACAGUUUAACCAAAAGGCGUUUCCAGUGGAAACUGGCCGACAGAUCCUCAGCACAACCAUGUAUAACAUCCACAGAACUUAAAAAGAGGUUAUACACACGAUACGGUAACAUUAUGUUGAAGCACAGUACUGUGCUAAACCAGUUCCACCACUGGAGUUGCAGCAUUUUUAUAAACCAGUUCUGGUUCAACCUCCUCUCUCCGUCGCCGCCGUGCUUUUUCCGCCAUGUGCGUAUGAAAACAGGCACUGCGCAUGCGCGUGUUACCCACGUUCUAUCGCCAUAUUUUCUUAUCGUUGCCCAACGUUAUACCGGUAUUACCAUGAACGGGAUGAUGUGGCCCAGCCCUGUCCCUCACUUCCUGCUUUUCCAGCGUUUCAUCAGUGCUGUCAGUCUGCUUUCACUCUCAGCAGCAAAGUGAAAAUAGUCAGAGUAUAAUACGUUGGAGUUUCGCUCUUUAAUAACAGCUCGGUUACCGUCCGCUACUUUAUGCCUUUCACCUGCAGAGCUCAGCAGGCGUGUCCACGCCAACACGGUUUCCGCGAGUCUUACAGGAAACGCUCGAGUUUUCCAUCAUCUUCCCGGAGGUCAGCGGAGCGAGACGGCUCCGCUUGGCCGUCUGAUUCCUCGCUCUCUCUUUUUAUUCUAACAAACGGACAGCGCCUCCCGGGCGCCUUUCCAGUUUUGUGUUUUUGAUUCACCUCCGUCUCCUUCCUCGACACAGCCGAGCCGCUGAGAUCACAAAGAUGCCCGACAGGGUGGAGUGUGUGUAUGUGCGUGAUGAGAUGGAUCGUUUGCAGGUGUGUUGGAGAAAAGAGAAGUCGGAGGUCAAGGAGGGGUUUGUAGGAUGCAGGCAGACAGACGACGGAUCAGAUAGCGGAUCCGAGGAGACGAGGCGGCUGGGAGGUGAGAGGAGCUCUGCUUUGAUUGGAGGGAGAUGAACAAUGAUGUCUUCAACAGGAAGCCCGUUUUAUCAAACUCCUUCUAACCUUUCUAGAAACCUCACACCUAAUGAGCUCCUCUCCUGAGCCGAGCUGUGAAGUCUCAUUACGUCAAACACAGUUUUAAUUGAGCCGCUUGAAGUUUCCAAAGUCUGUGAGAAACGACUUGAUGGUGCAGCAGCUUCUCUCGGCCUCCCCGCCCGUCUCCAGGUGAACUUCAGAACUGGUCCCACCUCUGAUAUGAGCUCCUGCUGCUCACAUCUCACGCAGCCCCGAGGGUGAGAGCUGAGCCGGCUGGUGGAAAACAGUUUUCAGAAUAAGACAAAGGCUUCAUGUUUUGCUUUAUUCUCUCGUGUUUUUGUUGAGAAAAUAAUUGAAUGUUGUAAAAAGGGUGAGGCGGGAUUUGAAGGGCUCGCUGGCUUCUAAUGAAACGCCUUCAAGCUGUAAACGAAAGACAUAAAAAAGUUUCAGAAGACGGCGGCAGGCAGAGCGAUGGUGGAGGAGAUGAAGGCAGGUUGGAUAGGAAAGUUUCAGUAAGUGUGUGGGAGCAGGUGAGGUGCAUGUAAGGGGGGCUUUGUAGGUUUUUAAUUAACGUCUGGUUGCUUGUUAGAGCGUGAGAGCAGAGAUGAGCCGCGGAUGCUGAGGGCUCAUUCUCAAGCAGGUAAAACAGAAGUGCAGAAAAUCAGGCGAUGCAGAUUAUUUAUGUCACUCUGAAAACUUCCUCAUGCAGUCGCAGCCGUUUGAGAUGCCAGCAGGCAUCAGCAGGAGCUCCAGAGGAGGAGGCUGUGUCGAGGAAGGAGGCGCGCCGCUGUGCCUCGGCGGCGCUUUCUUUGUCUCCGUUUGAAUCCCCGUUUCCAGUUAGCACAACAGUGUGUCUUAAUUAACCUCAGCCAGUCUGAUAGUAUUUCAGCACUAAUGGCUUCCCAAUAAAGAACGCCGUGGCUUCCUGCGUGGGAGACGGCGCCCAGCGCUGUGGCCGAGGCGAGCUGUCACAAGUGACUGAUGCUGAGUGACAGCUGAAGUAGUAUUUUAAUGGCAAAGGCGGUGCCUGUUUUUCUUUAACUCACCGGUGCAUUUGUAGAGUAGAAUCUGUCCCCACCCUGCUGUGGAAAGCAGUGUGCCAAAACAAAGCGCCCGUGGAGCUCGCGAUCUCGCGAUCUCUUGAUUCUGACAAAAACAGUUCGUUACCAGCACGUCAGUAACAACUACAGGCCUCGAGUUGGACCAAAGGAGGUGCUACUCUUUCACUCUCUCUUUUCUUUCUGCUUUUAUUGCCAUGUUUUUAAGCAGGUUCAAACUGUAGCGCAUGACUUUAGUCGCCCCCUUCUGGCAGUGAGAGUAACUGCACACUGACAGAAGGAAAAGUUGCAAACGACAAAGAUUUUACUUUGUGCGUAAAGGCUUAAAGGUCCUUUUUGUAACUGCUCUCUUCAACUGUAACUAAAUGUGUCACCACCAGGGGGCAGCAUUUAACAGCGCGCGAGUUGAGAUGUUUCCAGAUGUUUGCUGCUGUUUCAUUGCUGCUGUUGGCCUCCCACUAGACCACCAUUGUGUUCCAUACGCUGCACCACCCCGUGGAGGGACACGCCGCCCUCGUUUUCCCCACAUUUCACUGUGAUUGCUUUCGUUAAUUUUGGAAGGUUUUAAAUUGUAUUUACUCGCAGGAAUUUACAACAAGUACCUUUAAUGAGUGCGCUGUGACGUCUUGGAUUUAUAACAAAGUCGUGCACUGCAGCUUUAAGCCCUGCAGAGUCCUUGUUUUCAAAAGAUAUGCCAUGAAGAGCCAAAUGCAGCUUUAUUCAAGACCCCCCCCCCCCCACACACACACACACACACACUAAUGAGAGCAAACACAGUCCAGAUCCCUUCCUGAUUGGAGACCUUCUGCACAUGUGCAUUACUUGUGAAAACAGGACAUUUUCUUAUCUACGGUCUCAUUUUGACGAGUCUUGUUCCUUUUUUUGUAUCUUGUACAUGUUUACAUUGUAUCUCGCAUUGCCCAAAAGAGAAACAAUAUUAAAUGUAUAAUCUUUGUUGUUUUAAA